GUUAAUUGUCAUAACGUAGAUACAAACAAAAUGUAGAAUCUGCUUUUGAAAUGACGCUUUCUCACUAUCUUCGUGCAACCGUAUAAGUUACUGUAUGGCUUUUAUCAAUUAUCUUAACCCAUAUCGUAUAGUAGCUUUAUAACUUCAAUAGAAUUGAGAAUGGAAACGGGAAAUGAGUUAUAAAAAGAGGCAACAACCCGACAAAAGAGCAGAAAACAACCCAUAGUCACCAAUGGGUCUUUAACGCAAAAAAGGGGGGGG
rnacentral:lncRNA from 1 species